rnacentral:misc_RNA from 1 species
UCGCUAUCAAUGCCUUGGAUACAAUUCCAAGAGCAGUGUUGAGAACCAAAAAAAAUAUAGAAAUACAAAUAUAAUUACCUAUCAUGAUUAACUCAGCAAUUGCAUGUGACCUUAACAAUCAGAUUGCGACUAUAAAUCACAACCCAUUGGGUCACGUGUAAUGUUAGUACAAGUUAUUCCGGCGUCAUCUAUAAAUGAUAAAAGCAGUCACCUACUGUCCAUGUGUGAUCUGAUCUCAGCUCAAUCCCCAGAUACGUAAGUCUUACCUUCAUAAUACCUUUUCUCACUCUCUGCCUUCUUCUCAUUACGUUUCUGGUAUGCUU